UCCGGUUCACUUUAACACUGAGGCGUGAUGACGAGGCACUACGGUGCUGAAGUGACAAAUGCCCUGCUUCCAGGAAAAGCCUCUAAGCAUCAGGUAACACGAAAUCGUACCCCAAACCGACACAGGUGGUCAGGUAGAGAAUACCAAGGCGCUUGAGAGAACUCGGGUGAAGGAACUAGGCAAAAUGGUGCCGUAACUUC
rnacentral:rRNA from 1 species